rnacentral:rRNA from 1 species
UUGGCUCAGAAGCAGCCACCAUUUAAAGAGUGCGUAAUAGCUCACUGGUCGAGAGACGCUGCGCCGAAAAUGUCCGGGGCUCAAGCACGGAACCGAAGCUAUGGCAUGAUAGCAAUAUCAUGGGUAGGGGAGCGUUCUUAUAAGGAAGAAGCAUGACCGGAAGGACAUGUGGACGAAUAAGAAGUGAGAAUGCCGGUAUGAGUAUCGAAAAGAAAGGUGAGAAUCCUUUCCACCGAAAGCCCGAGGGUUCCUGAGCAACGAUCGUCGACUCAGGGUAAGUCGGGACCUAAGCCGAGGCGAGAAGCGUAGGCGAUGGACAACAGGUUGAAAUUCCUGUACCGGAUCAAGUCGAUCGAGCGAAGGAGCGACGCAGGAGGGCACAUGAUCGCGCGGCUGGAAGAGCGCGUCCAAGUGCGUAUGUUGCUGCAGAGGAAAACCCCUGCGGCUGAAAGCAGAGACAUGAUGGGGAGUUAAAGGAAACUUUGACGAACUCAUGAAUCCCACACUGCCAAGAAAAACUUCUAGCGAGACAAGAUCCGCCCGUACCGUAAACCGACACAGGUAGGCGGGGAGAGAAUCCUAAGGUGCGCGGGAAAACCCUCGUUAAGGAACUCGGCAAAUUGCAUCCGUAACCUAGGGAGAAGGAUGGCCCCCGGUCAGUGAAGAGCAGAAACGCUCAGAGCUAAAAGGGGCGGCAGAAAAGAGGCCCAAGCAACUGUUUACCAAAAACACAGGUGCCUGCGAAAGCGAAAGCUGAAGUAUAGGUGCUGACGCCUGCCCGGUGCCGGAAGGUUAAGGAGAGAAGUUAGCGAAAGCGAAGCAUCGAACUGAAGCCCCGGUGAACGGCGGCCGUAACUAUAACGGUCCUAAGGUAGCGAAAUUCCUUGUCGGGUAAGUUCCGACCCGCACGAAAGGCGUAACGAUUUGGGCACUGUCUCAACGAGGGACCCGGUGAAAUUGAAAUACCUGUGAAGAUGCAGGUUACCCGCGACUGGACAGAAAGACCCCAUGGAGCUUCACUGCAGCUUGAGAUUGAAUCCCGGUGACAGAUGCACAGGAUAGGUGGGAGGCGCCGAAGCAUUGCCCUAGGGCGGUGCGGAGCCGAUGUUGGGAUACCACCCUUCUGUUGCUGAGAUUCUAACGCGAGGAGUAACGACCCUGCGGACCCUCUCAGGCAGGCGGUUUGACUGGGGCGGUCGCCUCCGAAAGAGUAACGGAGGCGCCCAAAGGUUCCCUCAGGCCGGACAGAAACCGGCCGAAGAGUGCAAAGGCAGAAGGGAGCUUGACUGCGAGACCAACAAGUCGAGCAGGGACGAAAGUCGGGCUUAGUGAUCCGGUGGUACUGGGUGGAAAGGCCAUCGCUCAACGGAUAAAAGCUACCCUGGGGAUAACAGGCUAAUCUCUCCCAAGAGUCCAUAUCGACGGGGAGGUUUGGCACCUCGAUGUCGGCUCAUCACAUCCUGGGGCUGAAGUAGGUCCCAAGGGUUGGGCUGUUCGCCCAUUAAAGUGGUACGCGAGCUGGGUUCAAAACGUCGUGAGACAGUUUGGUUCAUAUCCAUCGCGGGCGCAAGAAGUUUGAGAGGAGCUGCUCCUAGUACGAGAGGACCGGAGUGGACGGAUCAACGGUGUCCCAGUUGUCACGCCAGUGGCACGGCUGGAAAGCCGCAUCCGGGAAGGAUAAACGCUGAAAGCAUCUAAGCGUGAAGCCAACCUCAAGAUGAGACUUCUCAUCAGCAAUGAGUAAGACCCCUUACAGACGAUGAGGUAGAUAGGUUAUGAGUGGAAGAGCCGCAAGGCUUGGAGCGACAUAAAACUAAUAGGUCGAGGUCUUAACUUA